rnacentral:rRNA from 1 species
GACGAACGCUGGCGGCGUGCUUAACACAUGCAAGUCGUACGGUAAGGCCCUUUCGGGGGUACACGAGUGGCGAACGGGUGAGUAACACGUGAGUAACCUGCCCACAACUUUGGGAUAACGCUAGGAAACUGGUGCUAAUACUGGAUAUGUGCUCCUGCUGCAUGGAGGGGGUUGGAAAGCUCCGGCGGGUGUGGGUGGACUCGCGGCCUAUCAGCUUGUUGGUGGGGUAGUGGCCUACCAAGGCGGCGGCGGGUAGCCGGCCUGGGAGGGUGACCGGCCACAUUGGGACUGGGAUACGGCCCAGACUCCUACGGGAGGCAGCAGGGGGGAAUAUUGCACAAUGGGCGCAAGCCUGAUGCAGCAACGCCGCGUGCGGGAUGACGGCCUUCGGGUUGUAAACCGCUUUCAGCAGGGACGAAGCUUUUUGUGACGGUACCUGCAGAAGAAGCACCGGCUAACUACGUG